rnacentral:rRNA from 1 species
GACGAACGCUGGCGGCGUGCUUAACACAUGCAAGUCGAACGGAAAGGCCCUGCUUUUGUGGGGUGCUCGAUUGGCGAACGGGUGAGUAACACGUGAGUAACCUGCCCUUGACUUUGGGAUAACUUUAGGAAACUGGGGCUAAUACCGGAUAGGAGCUCCUGCUGCACGGUGUGGGUUGGAAAGUUUCGGCGGUUGGGGAUGGACUCGCGGCUUAUCAGCUUGUUGGUGUGGUAGUGGAUUACCAAGGCUUUGACGGGUAGGCGGCCUGGGAGGGUGACCGGCCACAUUGGGACUGAGAUACGGACCAGACUCCUACGGGAGGCAGCAGUGGGGAAUAUUGCGCAAUGGGCGGAAGCCUGAUGCAGCAACGCCGCGUGCGGGAUGACGGCCUUCGGGUUGUAAACCGCUUUCGCCUGUGACGAAGCGUGAGUGACGGUAAUGGGUAAAGAAGCACCGGCUAACUACGUG